AUUGAACGCUGGCGGCAGGCCUAACACAUGCAAGUCGAGCGGGGUUUUCGGACCUAGCGGCGGACGGGUGAGUAAUGCGUAGGAAGCUACCCGAUAGAGGGGGAUACCAGUUGGAAACGACUGUUAAUGCCGCAUAAUGUCUACGGACCAAAGUGUGGGACCUUCGGGCCACAUGCUAUCGGAUGCGCCUACGUGGGAUUAGCUAGUUGGUGAGGUAAUGGCUCACCAAGGCGACGAUCUCUAGCUGGUUUGAGAGGAGUGAUCAGCCACACUGGAACUGAGACACGGUCCAGACUCCUACGGAGGCAGCAGUGGGGAAUAUUGGACAAUGGGCGCAAGCCUGAUCCAGCCAUGCCGCGUGUGUGAAGAAGGCCUCGGUUGUAAGUCGACUUUCUAGCGA
rnacentral:rRNA from 1 species